rnacentral:rRNA from 1 species
UACGUAGGGACCAAGCGUUGUCCGGAUUUAUUGGGCGUAAAGAGCUCGUAGGCGGCCUGCCACGUCGGAUGUGAAAGCUCAGGGCUUAACCCUGAGAGGCCAUUCGAUACGGGCAGGCUAGAGGUAGGUAGGGGAAAGUGGAAUUCCAGGUGUAGCGGUGAAAUGCGUAGAUAUCUGGAGGAACACCGGUGGCGAAGGCGGCAUCCUGGACCGGUAUUGACGCUGAGGCGCGAAAGCCAGGGGAGCAAACGGG